AAAGAAACCAACAGGGAUUGCCCUAGUACGGCGAGUGAAGCGGCAACAGCUCAAAUUUGAAAUCUGGCCCUCGGGUCCGAGUUGUAAUUUGUAGAGGAUGCUUUUGGUGAGGUGCCUUCCGAGUUCCCUGGAACGGGACGCCAUAGAGGGUGAGAGCCCCGUCUGGUUGGACACCGAACCUCUGUAAAGCUCCUUCGACGAGUCGAGUAGUUUGGGAAUGCUGCUCUAAAUGGGAGGUAUAUGUCUUCUAAAGCUAAAUACCGGCCAGAGACCGAUAGCGCACAAGUAGAGUGAUCGAAAGAUGAAAAGCACUUUGAAAAGAGAGUUAAAAAGUACGUGAAAUUGUUGAAAGGGAAGCGCUUAUGACCAGACUUGGGCUUGGUUGAUCAUCCUGGGUUCUCCCUGGUGCACUCUUCCAGUUCAGGCCAGCAUCAGUUCGCUGCGGGGGAUAAAAGCUUUAGGAAUGUGGCUCCUUCGGGAGUGUUAUAGCCUAUUGCAUAAUACCCUGCUCCGGACUGAGGUUCGCGCAUCUGCAAGGAUGCUGGCGUAAUGGUCAUCAGCGACCCGUCUUGAAACACGGACCAAGGAGUCGUCUUCGUAUGCGAGUGUUCGGGUGUUAAACCCCUACGCGUAAUGAAAGUGAACGCAGGUGAGAGCUUCGGCGCAUCAUCGACCGAUCCUGAUGUUCUCGGAUGGAUUUGAGUAAGAGCAUACGGGGCCGGACCCGAAAGAAGGUGAACUAUGCCUGUAUAGGGUGAAGCCAGAGGAAACUCUGGUGGAGGCUCGCAGCGGUUCUGACGUGCAAAUCGAUCGUCAAAUAUGGGCAUGGGGCGAAAGACUAUCGAACCUUCUAGUAGCUGGUUUCCGCCGAAGUUUCCCUCAGGA
rnacentral:rRNA from 1 species